AACCAGGCGCACUCACUGCUUGAGCAAAAAUGGUGUAAGCAGUUCUUCGUUGCCAGAUUAACAGCAGCAAGCAUUCUCAUUGCACAGUGCAUCAUGGAAAACAUCUACAGUGCAUAUCAGUGGAUCACUAAAAAGUUAAUA